rnacentral:rRNA from 1 species
UACGUAGGUGGCAAGCGUUGUUCGGAAUUAUUGGGCGUAAAGGGCGCGUAGGCGGUUUGUUAAGUCAGCUGUGAAAGCCCGGGGCUCAACCCCGGAGGGUCAGCUGAUACUGGCAGGCUAGAGUACAGAAGAGGUAACUGGAAUUCCCGGUGUAGUGGUGAAAUGCGUAGAUAUCGGGAGGAACACCAGUGGCGAAGGCGACUACCUGGCCUGUUCUUGACGCUGAGGCGCGAAAGCUAGGGGAGCAAACGGG